rnacentral:rRNA from 1 species
GACGAACGCUGGCGGCGUGCUUAACACAUGCAAGUCGAACGGUGAAGCGCUUUCCUUUUUGGUUGGUGUGGAUGAGUGGCGAACGGGUGAGUAACACGUGAGUAACCUGCCCCCUUCUUCUGGAUAACCGCAUGAAAGUGUGGCUAAUACGGGAUAUUCUGCGCCUGCUGCAUGGUGGGUGUGGGAAAGAUUGUGCCUUUGGGUGUUUUCGGUGGGGGAUGGGCUCGCGGCCUAUCAGCUUGUUGGUGGGGUGAUGGCCUACCAAGGCGGUGACGGGUAGCCGGCCUGAGAGGGUGGACGGUCACACUGGGACUGAGACACGGACCAGACUGCUACGGGAGGCAGCAGUGGGGAAUAUUGCACAAUGGGCGCAAGCCUGAUGCAGCGACGCCGCGUGAGGGAGGGAGGCCUUCGGGUUGUGAACCUCUUUCGCCAGUGAAGCAGGCCUGCUCCUUGUGGGUGGGUUGACGGUAGCUGGAUAAGAAGCGCCGGCUAACUACGUG